GGAAACAUUCACUGAAGAAAGACUUUCCUUUCGAUCAGAGAUUCUCAACCUUGGCCAGAUGAUUGCUGUGGACAGCUGUCCUAUUUAUGAUUUGUGUGUUAAUCAUCAAGCUAAAGACAUAACAAGAAAAUAACGUCACCUGAGUGUCAUCUCAGUGUGCUAUUCACAUGUAAUCAGACUCCCUUCAACUAAUCUCACCGGCAAGUCUAAGGAAUUCAUGGCUGCACCUCCUCAGCACGUCAAGGAAAGCGCUAUUGCAGUGGACAGUUAAAAGACAAUGGCAGUAGAACAUCUUAUUUAAACUUUUGAUAAUAAAAUAAUACAGAAGUG